AUUGAACGCUGGCGGCAGGCCUAACACAUGCAAGUCGAACGAGUGGCGGACGGGUGAGUAAUGUAUGGGAAACUGCCUGAUGGCGGGGGAUACCUACUGGAAAUGGUAGCUAAUACCGCAUACCAUCAGAUGUGCCCAGAUGGGAUGAGCUUGUGGGUGGGGAAACGGCUCACCAGGGCGACGAUCCCUCGCUGGUCUGAGCGGAUGACCAGCCACACUGGAACUGAGACACAGUCCAGACUCCUACGCGAGGCAGCAGUGGGGAAUAUUGCACAAUGGGCGCAAGCCUGAUGCAGCCAUGCCGCGUGUAUGAAGAAGGCCUUCGGGUUGUAAAGUACUUUCAGCGGGGAGGCGUUACCCGCAGAAGAAGCACCGGCUAACGCCGUGCCAGCAGCCGCGGUAAUUC
rnacentral:rRNA from 1 species